rnacentral:tRNA from 1 species
CGGUGAGUGGCGCAGCUUGGUAGCGCACUUGUGGUCGCAGGUUCAAAUCCUGUCUCACCGACCA